CGCCGUGCGCUGCGGCAGCCACCGCGGGGCGGGCGGGAGGACAUCACCCUCCGGUGGAUAGCAGAGGCGACGGAGGAAGGCACCAGGUGAAUAGUGUUCUGCUGUGAUGCUCAGGAUUUUUCAGUGACAUGAACAGACUGCGGAGGCUGCUCCUGUGGGAGGUGAAAGCAUUAAUUUUCAGACUUGCUGAAGGAAGGAGAUUCCAUUAGCAGACCCUUGUUUUGUGAGCAAGAAGAAAGUAAUGAAGUAUAAAGGCUGGUGAGAAUUUUCUUGUCAGAUGUUCAGCUGUGGGGAGUGGAAGGAUAAAACAAGUUUGGUUCUCUCCUUCUGAGAAAACAGCUGCUAGGACAGUUUGUAAAGCUUACAGCCUGCUCCUGACAUCUACUGGAUUGAAGGUAAACUAGGGCACUCAUCAGAGGAAAAAGCUGUCCCAGCUCAUCAGAUCGUGUUAAGAAGAAUUUCAUGCCAGAAAGGAAAAUUCAUAGCUAAACUGUAUUAUAAUCACACAUGAAUUCUGUGACUGUGUGGCUCCAUACUCUAUUGCAUCUUCCUAGCUUUACUAUGUCACAGCCACUACGUAUAAUAAGUAUUGGGACCUUGGGCUGGCAUGAUAAAUUAUAAUUACACAAACUUUUCUUUCUGUGUUCCUGCAGUAUCUGACAUACAUUCUGUAAUUCUGGUAUUGCACUCUCCAAAAAAAAAAGUCCUGAUCUCAAGUUAUGGUGUGGAAGGGGUUGGCACUGUUCUGUAUAGCUGAAGAAAUACCACAACUGCUUCUUCUCCAUGAAAAGUUUGACAAAACAGUCAGAAAUCAAGAGAAAACAUGUUUACUCUCAGCUAAGUGUCCUAUUAGAGAGAAACAACCAGGAUUUACUUAUUUAAGGUCUUUACUUACUUAAAUUCAGCUUCUCAUAAUGCAUGAGGACCGUUUUACUUCAAUCUUUUUGAAGCCCAAAGUAAACUUGUAGAAAAAUUGCUAAGUUUAUUGAAUAGGAUAACCUAUUAUAAUUGUAUUAGCAAAGCAAUUUUCCUGGUGAGUGACAGGUGACAAGUCAUUGUUUCUUGUAAUAUGAAGUUUACAUCUUUAUCUUUCCACACCUCAAGUAGCAAGAGCAUUUUGUUUAUCAGUUUACUUCUAACAUUGCAGUUUUGUUUGACACAGUGAUAGACUCCAUUUGAUGACUUAAAAUAUUAUAUUAAAAAGGAAAUAAAAAUUUGGCUGUUUGGUCAAUGUUUUUGAAAAUGAAUUAGUCUUUUAGUGAACUUCCACUCUUAGGCCAGUGCAGAGAAUAUCUAAGGAGUUACGUUCAUCUUUUGUGUUGGGUUACCACUUCCCUCACAGCUCAUAAGCAGUCCUGUUGGAAAAGAGGACUUCAAUGACAUUGAUUUAGAUACAUUUGUUAGCUGCGUACAAAUGAAAAUUAGUUUUAGGAUUAUUAAUGAGUCUGCAAAGACAGAAUCACUACAGUGGAAGACAGAAAACAGUCUGUCAUCGCCCGUUCCAUGAAAGAUUGUAUGGUUUUGAGAAAUGAAGCAACUUGGAUGAGUCAUGUAAUGAGUACUCACAAGGUCAGACACAAAUUUAUGGUCCUUAAGUCCUUUCUAAAUGCAAAUAACAGUGCUAGGGCCAGUACUUUGCUAAAUAAUCAGAUAUUGGCAGUUUCAGCAUGGAUUAAAAUAGACUUAGCUAAAACACUUUGAGGG